rnacentral:tRNA from 1 species
GGGAUGAUAGUUAAUAAAUAACAUUUAAUUUGCAAUUAAAAAUAAUUAGAAAAAUUAGUUCAUCUCA